rnacentral:rRNA from 2 species
UGCAAGUCGAACGCGUUGGCCCAACUGAUUGAACGUGCUUGCACGGACUUGACGUUGGUUUACCAGCGAGUGGCGGACGGGUGAGUAACACGUAGGUAACCUGCCCCAAAGCGGGGGAUAACAUUUGGAAACAGAUGCUAAUACCGCAUAACAAUUUGAAUCGCAUGAUUCAAAUUUAAAAGAUGGCUUCGGCUAUCACUUUGGGAUGGACCUGCGGCGCAUUAGCUUGUUGGUAGGGUAACGGCCUACCAAGGCUGUGAUGCGUAGCCGAGUUGAGAGACUGAUCGGCCACAAUGGAACUGAGACACGGUCCAUACUCCUACGGGAGGCAGCAGUAGGGAAUCUUCCACAAUGGGCGCAAGCCUGAUGGAGCAACACCGCGUGAGUGAAGAAGGGUUUCGGCUCGUAAAGCUCUGUUGUUAGAGAAGAACGUGCGUGAGAGCAACUGUUCACGCAGUGACGGUAUCUAACCAGAAAGUCACGGCUAACUACGUGCCAGCAGCCGCGGUAAUACGUAGGUGGCAAGCGUUAUCCGGAUUUAUUGGGCGUAAAGCGAGCGCAGGCGGUUUGAUAAGUCUGAUGUGAAAGCCUUUGGCUUAACCAAAGAAGUGCAUCGGAAACUGUCAGACUUGAGUGCAGAAGAGGACAGUGGAACUCCAUGUGUAGCGGUGGAAUGCGUAGAUAUAUGUAAGAACACCAGUGGUCGA